rnacentral:rRNA from 1 species
UACGGGGGGGGCAAGCGUUGUUCGGAAUUACUGGGCGUAAAGGGCUCGUAGGCGGCCAACUAAGUCAGACGUGAAAUCCCUCGGCUUAACCGGGGAACUGCGUCUGAUACUGGAUGGCUAGAGGUUGGGAGAGGGAUGCGGAAUUCCAGGUGUAGCGGUGAAAUGCAUAGAUACCAUAAAGAACACCGAUUGCGAAGGCAGCUUACUAGGCUGUAACUGACGCUGAGGCACGAAAGUGUGGGGAUCAAACAGG